rnacentral:rRNA from 1 species
UACGAGGGGGGCUAGCGUUGCUCGGAAUCACUGGGCGUAAAGGGUGCGUAGGCGGGUCUUUAAGUCAGGGGUGAAAUCCUGGAACUCAACUCCAGAACUGCCUUUGAUACUGAAGAUCUUGAGUUCGGGAGAGGUGAGUGGAACUGCGAGUGUAGAGGUGAAAUUCGUAGAUAUUCGCAAGAACACCAGUGGCGAAGGCGGCUCACUGGCCCGAUACUGACGCUGAGGCACGAAAGCGUGGGGAGCAAACAGG